rnacentral:lncRNA from 1 species
GAAAUUUUCAGAUAAGAACUUACAAAAUUUAUAUGAAUUAUGAAUUAUUUUGAAUCGAUUAUUCUACUUUUUAAAAUUUUAAUUUUAUUAUUUAAUCUUUUAAUUUGUUCUAUUUGAGUCGGUUAACGACAUUUUGAGUUUAAAAUUUUAAUCCGUCGUUUAUCUCUAUAUAUAAGUUUAGUUAAACUUCAUAUAAUUCUCUCAACUAUAAAUUCAUUAAACGAAGUAAUCAGUUCAAAUUUUGAAAUCAAAGUAACGUCAACUGACUCAAAUCAAAACAAACUCAAAGAUUUGGUAAUAAAAUCAAAAAUUUAAAAGAUUAGAUAACCGAUUCAAAAUAGUUUAUGAUUUAAUUAAGUACCGUAGGUUCUACCAAAUUUGUAUUCUAAUAUACUAACCAAAAUUAAAAAUCUUAAAUGUAUGAAUUCACAAAUUAAGAUAUUAAUAUAAAAGUUAUCUUAAAAAUAUAACUAGUGGUGCAAUACUGCAAUUUAUUCACUUCCUACAAAUCGUUUAACGAGAAAGCCUACCGUAUAACACUUAUAUCACAUUAUCAAUAACUAGCCAAUUUUAUUUUUAUAUUUGAGAAAAAGUAUAAUAAAAAUAUUUUUUUAAUAACUAUGAUAGAACAGAUGAACUAAAAAGAAAAAUUUUGAUUGGCUGAGAACGUCACAUUAGUAAUAGAAAAAACUUCAAAUACUACUAAUGUGGUUCCGCACUUUCUCACUUUAGUACCCUGUGGUUUAAAGUGUAUCAAUUUAGUGUCAUAUAAUUUUAUUUUUUAUCUUUUUAUUAUCAAUUUCGCUAAUUUUUUUUUAUUAAACGAGUGACGAAGUUAAAACUAAAGGGCACUAAAGUAAAUAUUCGAUAAACCUAGGGGGGACGUAUCUGAAGUUUUUUGUGUAUAAUUUAACGAAAUAUUAACGAAAAAACUAAUAAAAAAAUAAAAAUGAAAUCACAUGAUACUAACUUGAUACACUUUAAACUAUAAAGUACUAAAGUGAGAAAAUACAAAAUUAUAGGUAUGCUAUUUAAAGUUUAUCCUUAGUAAUAUAACUGAUAUAUUGCAGAUAUUUUCAGGUUUCUCAGUAGCCGUU